rnacentral:rRNA from 1 species
CCUACGGGUGGCUGCAGUGGGGAAUAUUGCACAAUGGGCGCAAGCCUGAUGCAGCCAUGCCGCGUGUGUGAAGAAGGCCUUCGGGUUGUAAAGCACUUUCAGCGGGGAGGAAGGCGUUAAGGUUAAUAACCUUGGCGAUUGACGUUACCCGCAGAAGAAGCACCGGCUAACUCCGUGACAGCAGCCGCGGUAAUACGGAGGGUGCAAGCGUUAAUCGGAAUUACUGGGCGUAAAGCGCACGCAGGCGGUCUGUCAAGUCGGAUGUGAAAUCCCCGGGCUCAACCUGGGAACUGCAUUCGAAACUGGCAGGCUAGAGUCUUGUAGAGGGGGGUAGAAUUCCAGGUGUAGCGGUGAAAUGCGUAGAGAUCUGGAGGAAUACCGGUGGCGAAGGCGGCCCCCUGGACAAAGACUGACGCUCAGGUGCGAAAGCGUGGGGAGCAAACAGGAUUAGAUACCCCGGUAGUC